CGCCACAGAAACCUUUCCAUUGCCAAUAAGGACGCGCCAGGACGUGCAGUACCGGGCAGCGCUCCGAGGACACGCACUGUACCACAUUUUAAUGAGGGAGGGACACUCAGAUGAAGGGACACUAGUCGUGUUGUAGCUGGGGAGUUAUCAAGAAUACCCGUUUCCAACUGCCUGUCUACAAGGUUGUUCCACCAGACGUCUCUGUCAUGGGUGUGAAGAUGCUGCAGUGUUUUCCUUUCUACAGACGCUGUAAAGAGCGCUGCAAGAGCAGGCAGUGCCCCCCGGCCUCAGUUCCCAUUGAGGAGAUGAAGCCCCGCCUGUCCUCCUACGACAUCCUGGGGUAGCGACAGUGAAGGAGCAGGAAGCCUCAGUCGGGGCUCCCAAAUCUAUUUCUCCACCAAGGCCAGGCUGUCUUUCAGGCACCAGCUGGACAGCAACAUCAACGCAGUGGAUGCCACCUACUGAGGAGGACGGGGGGCUGCAAGAGGAGAUAAAAGGACUCCAGUAUCAAAGUUUUCCAUCGCUCACUCAUGCUCGGAGCCUGUGGCGCGGAACCUGGGCGUCUGAUAGCUGAGCAAAUCCAUCUGUCGUCGCCUUUAGAUGUGAUCAACACAGUUAGUUGCGAACAGGCUGCAAUUUGCAUUUUAACCCCUCGGUCCUUGCUUCCAACAAAAAACUUGAUGAUGAAUCAGAUUCGACAAGGGACAGGUGAAAACAGACUGAAAUGGACUCGGUUUCCAGUCUCAGUGCAUUAAGAUUUCAGAAGACUUAAAAGGAGUGGACCCACUGUCCAAGUGGACAUAGUAUUGAUGAAAGAGAAGACAACAUAGAGACUUGUUUACAAAAUUUCACUACCAGGAAGUGCAUUAUUUUUUUGUGUUUCUUUCUUGGGGCGGGGUUGGUGGAGAGUUUUUGUUUUUCUACUGUUUGAAAAUUACAGUUUUAUUUCAAUUUGGAGAUGAUACAAAACCCUGCACACUAAUAGUGAAAUAUUACAGAACAGAAACAAAUUAGCUUUAGUAUCAACCCGAAUCCUACCACAUAUGCAAAAGGGUCAUGUUGAGGCCUUGUAUAAUGUUUGCAGGUUUUAGGAUGUUCAGCUGCUGCCUCUAGUUAGCUCCUCUCUGGACAAGAAUAAGUAAACUAAGCUGCACGGAGUAUUACAUUUCUAUUGGGUAUUUUGUGACUCAUACUUGGCUUCAGCUCAUUCUGGCUAACUUCUUUUUGUUUAUAUUUUUGUAAUUAAAACACUCCAGAUUGCAUUUGAUAUUAAAAUGUAUUAACUUUUUAACAAACCCUAAGUGCAGAGUUGUGUGAUGAACUGGGUUCUGUAUUCGCCUCAAAUGAACAGAUAUGAAUGUAAGUGCUGAUCCCAAAUGACUGUGAAAAACCUGCUGAAAUUUGAAACGUCAGUGUUGAUGCAAAACCAAUUAUCAGCUAUUCAUAUCCACAGUAAAUCAAAAGAAAAGUAUCUUUAUUCUUUACUAACAAAAUAAUAACAAUGUACAUUAAAAAUG